AUGGUCUGCAGUGAUGACUAAUUUUUUUCCCCGGCUUAUCGAUAAAUGCUGAUAAACAAAGAGUAAUGCCAGUUGUUCUGAGCAGACCUA